UACGUAGGGGGCAAGCGUUGUCCGGAUUUAUUGGGCGUAAAGAGCUCGUAGGUGGUUCGGUAAGUCGGAUGUGAAAUCUCCAGGCUCAACCUGGAGGGGUCAUUCGAUACUGCCGUGACUAGAGUUCGGUAGGGGAGUGUGGAAUUCCCGGUGUAGCGGUGAAAUGCGCAGAUAUCGGGAGGAACACCUAUGGCGAAGGCAGCUCGCUGGGACGUUACUGACGCUGAGACGCGAAAGCGUGGGGAGCAAACAGG
rnacentral:rRNA from 1 species